rnacentral:lncRNA from 1 species
UCUACCAUCCUAUGCCCAAUUGCAUGUUGCUUAGGUACAUGGAAAUUUUAGUAUAGAUUGUAGUAUCAUGUGGUAGGCACACAACAACCCCGAUACUUGGCCUCGGGACAACAAAUUUCAUAUUGCUAUGCUUGAGUAGACGGGAUUUCGGUUGAGUGCAUAACACGAGUGAUGCGAGGUCGAUUAAAUAAUCAAGACCGGUUAAGACAAGAUUUUCAAGACCUCGGACGCAAUGCAACUCUGGGUGAAGGACGGUUGAUCGGCUCCCAGGAGAACCCAGUGGAUGCCCGGGAUGCUGGGGACGGCCAUGACAUCCUGCGGAAAGCUUCACCCAGGCUCAAAGAGACAGACGGAUAUUUUCAAGACUCAAGGCU